GACGAACGCUGGCGGCGCGCCUAACACAUGCAAGUCGAACGAGAGAUGAGGAGCUUGCUCUUCAAAUCGAGUGGCGAACGGGUGAGUAACGCGUGAGGAACCUGCCUCAAAGAGGGGGACAACAGUUGGAAACGACUGCUAAUACCGCAUAAGCCCACGGCUCGGCAUCGAGCAGAGGGAAAAGGAGCAAUCCGCUUUGAGAUGGCCUCGCGUCCGAUUAGCUAGUUGGUGAGGUAACGGCCCACCAAGGCAACGAUCGGUAGCCGGACUGAGAGGUUGAACGGCCACAUUGGGACUGAGACACGGCCCAGACUCCUACGGGAGGCAGCAGUGGGGAAUAUUGCACAAUGGGGGAAACCCUGAUGCAGCGACGCCGCGUGGAGGAAGAAGGUCUUCGGAUUGUAAACUCCUGUUGUUGAGGAAGAUAAUGACGGUACUCAACAAGGAAGUGACGGCUAACUACGUGCCAGCAGCCGCGGUAAAACGUAGGUCACAAGCGUUGUCCGGAAUUACUGGGUGUAAAGGGAGCGCAGGCGGGAGAACAAGUUGGAAGUGAAAUCCAUGGGCUCAACCCAUGAACUGCUUUCAAAACUGUUUUUCUUGAGUAGUGCAGAGGUAGGCGGAAUUCCCGGUGUAGCGGUGGAAUGCGUAGAUAUCGGGAGGAACACCAGUGGCGAAGGCGGCCUACUGGGCACCAACUGACGCUGAGGCUCGAAAGUGUGGGUAGCAAACAGGAUUAGAUACCCUGGUAGUCCACACCGUAAACGAUGAUUACUAGGUGUUGGAGGAUUGACCCCUUCAGUGCCGCAGUUAACACAAUAAGUAAUCCACCUGGGGAGUACGACCGCAAGGUUGAAACUCAAAGGAGUUGACGGGGGCCCGCACAAGCAGUGGAGUAUGUGGUUUAAUUCGACGCAACGCGAAGAACCUUACCAAGUCUUGACAUCCCUUGACGAUGCUGGAAACAGUAUUUCUCUUCGGAGCAAGGAGACAGGUGGUGCAUGGUUGUCGUCAGCUCGUGUCGUGAGAUGUUGGGUUAAGUCCCGCAACGAGCGCAACCCUUAUGGUCAGUUACUACGCAAGAGGACUCUGGCCAGACUGCCGUUGACAAAACGGAGGAAGGUGGGGAUGACGUCAAAUCAUCAUGCCCUUUAUGACUUGGGCUACACACGUACUACAAUGGCGUUAAACAAAGAGAAGCAAGACCGCGAGGUGGAGCAAAACUCAGAAACAACGUCCCAGUUCGGACUGCAGGCUGCAACUCGCCUGCACGAAGUCGGAAUUGCUAGUAAUCGUGGAUCAGCAUGCCACGGUGAAUACGUUCCCGGGCCUU
rnacentral:rRNA from 1 species